AUUGAACGCUGGCGGAAUGCUUUACACAUGCAAGUCGAACGGUAGAGGGGGCAACCCCUCGAGAGUGGCGAACGGGUGAGUAAUAUAUCGGAACGUGCCCAGUCGUGGGGGAUAACGUAGCGAAAGUUACGCUAAUACCGCAUACGAUCUAAGGAUGAAAGCGGGAGAUCGCAAGACCUCGCGCGAUUGGGGCGGCCGCUAUAAGAUUAGGUAGGUGGUGGGGUAAAGGCUCAACAACCCAACGAAUCUGUGGCUGGGCUGAGAGGACGACCAGCCAAACUGGAACUGAGACACUGUCCAGACUCCUACGGGAGGCAGCAGUGGGGAAUUUUGGACAAUGGACGCAAGUCUGAUCCAGCCAUUCCGCGUGCAGGAUGAAGGCCCUCGGGUUGUAAACUGCUUUUGUACGGAACGAAAAGGUCUCUCUUAAUACGGGGGGCUCAUGACGGUACCGUAAGAAUAAGCACCGGCUAACUACGUGCCAGCCGCCGCUGUAA
rnacentral:rRNA from 1 species